CUUCGCGAAUCAGCAAUUCCGAGGGAGCACAAAUUUACGAUCUGUCGUAAGAAGUAAGUCUCUGCUAUUGAGUCAUUUGCAAUUUCUCUCGUUAACAAGGCGCCAGAAAUCAAAAACAUCGUGAGUAUUCGUUCGAUCGAACCUGCAAACCAUUCAUCCACAAUAGGAUCAUACGUCUUCUUCGAUAGCUCCACGGAAUAUUAACAUCGUGGCUAUUUUAUGUAAAAUGAUAACGUUGUCCAGUACACGUGGAAAUAUUUUUAUUCCGUGCAGCGUGGCGUCUCGUGGCGCGAUCGUUGCACCGUGAGCAAAACGGGAAGAUUUAUUAUUCAACAGGGUCUGGUUUUCUUUGUGGAUUGCGUGGAGAAGCUCGUGACGGGGCCAGUGUCCUCGUAAUCUCCGUAGCCCUGGUCACAGUCGAUUACGUCGCCACGACCUACGUGACCGUGCGCGGGCGUAAUAAGUAAAAGCGUCGCGAAUAACGUCGAUCAAUGUCACAGGCGUACUUGCGCGAAUCGAUCACUCGUCACGUUCAUCCGCGCGAACUUCGAUUCAUCGGGCUCGUUCACCGUUACGCAAGUUUCGGCGUUGCGACGCAUCGUGUAUUGUGUCUUUUACGCAAGAAAACCUCUACAUUUGUAUAUAGGGUGGCCCACACUUUUCUUUUCCGAAGUUCAAACUUCGCCAGUAUGCUUUAGAAAAAUAUAGAAGAUGUCCAAAGUAUAGCAAUGAUCGUAAUAUCUACUAGGUGGGCCAAAUUUCUAUUUGGUUGUACUAGUAAAAGAUAUAAACAUGUAUAAACAUUCACAGCUCGUCUAGAAUAUAAAAGUACACUGUUGCGUAUAUACGAAAUUUCAUGAAAUAUUCUGAAUAAGCGUGAAAGCGUAAAGACGGUACUUCCUGCUCGAAAAAAUCCUAUGGUCAGUCAGUCGAGCACAGAUUUGUGACGCUUCUUGAAGCAGUUAAGAUAUGGGCAAAUGACAAUCUCGCUAGGAAAUUUAAAAAGUUGCUGUCUUCAUAUUUAAAUUCUUGGCGACAUCGCCGCUAUAGCUGUUAUUUAUCAAGAGAUUGUUUUUUACCGUUGCAAAUACGAUCGUUCGUAUCGAUCUAAUAUAUCGAUAGAUAUGUUCCAAGUAUCUUUAAAUUUUCUGUCAAGUCGACGAAACAAACGUAUGUACAUAAAAAGCGAACAAGAGUUACGAAAAAUAGGUUACCUGGAGAAAGGAAGUAGAGAGAUCCAAAAUGAGGGACACCCUGUAUAUGUUCACUUGUACGAUGGUGUACGACCUUCAACUACGUGACACGUAACAGGCUAGACGAAUUGUGUUAUGUCUCGUUGCAUUGCAUUUUUAUGCUUGUCAACUGAUUUAUGAAUGGUUGAGAAUGCUGAGAAGAUUUGUGUCAGAUGUAAUAUGAUAAUGCUAAUAUAAUGAUAAUGCCGAGUUUAAAGUAGUAACGAGACUUUGAUGGAAAGAAAAUUGGAGGUUAUGUAACGUGAAAAAGGAAAUUUUAUUUCUGCUUGUAACAAUAUAUCAUUAAAUUUGACGUAUGAUCUCUCCCGUGAAAAUACGAUUAUUAUAUGAAUAGAUACAAUUAUUAAAAAGAGAUUAUCGUAUAAGUUCCAAUUACAUAUUUGCA